GAUUACAUAUCCAGCAAUUUAACUAUGAUGCCACAGUAUCCCAUAUCUCCCAAGAUGUUGCCCCUGGAUAGUCUAGUACCUGGACUGCAGCUUCAAAUGAUAACUACAAUCCCACUGCUCCCCUCAGAGUUGGGAAGAAGAAUUUUACACUGGAAUUACACACACAAAAUGCUGGAGGAACUCAGCAGCAUCUCACAAGCAUGCAACCUCGACCAUCUGAAAAGGCAAAAGCAGCAGGGAAGACGUCCAUUUGCAGUCACACACCAUCCUGACUUGGAACUACGUCGCUAUUUCUACAUCAUCAUGAGUCUUCAUUCCAGCACUGAAGUAUUUCCACUGGAAGAUUUCUGGUGAUUCCACAUGGCUGCUCACCUCCUCUUCUCACAGUUCCAGCAGCCAGAGCAGCAGAGGGGAGGAACCAGCAGUUUUUUUAAAAAGUUGUCUCUGAUUGGCUAAGUGUGUGGCAACUCAGCCAGUAAAAGGAAGAUCUUUUACAUCAAGAAGACAGACCAGGCCUCCACUGGAAUCUCACCAGAAUCACAGCACUUCCAGCAGCUUAGCACUCCUUCCAUACUGCACCGGCAGAGUCAGCUCGAACAUAGAACAUAGAACAGUAUGGCACAGAACAGGCCCUUCAGCCCACAAUGUUAUGCCGAUAGAGCUAAUCCCUCCUACCUACAGAAUGCCCAUCUCCCUCCAUUUUCCUCUCAUUCAUGUGCCCAUCUAAGCCCCUGUUAAAAGCCCCCAAUGAAUUUGCCUCCACCACCCUAUCAGGAAUGCAUUCCAGGCAUCCACCACUCUCUGAGUAAAAAACUUACCCCUCACGUCUAUUCUGAACCUACCCCCUCUCACAUUGAAUGUAUGCCCUCUGGUAUUGGAUCGCCCAAUAAUGGGAAGAAGAUAUUGCUUGUCCACCCUAUCUAUGCCCCUCAUAAUUUUAUACAUUUCCAAAAGAUCGCCCCUCAGCUCUGCCGCUCCAGAGAAAAGAGCCCAAGUUUGUCCAGCCUCUCCUGAUAGCUCAUGCCCUCUAAUCCAGGCAGCAUCCUAGUAAACCUCCUCUGCACCCUCUCUAAAGCCUCGACAUCCUUCCUAUAGUGAGGUGACCAGAACUGCAUGCAAUUUUGCUCUUCAACUUUGCUCUUCAAAUCUUCAGAGAAAUCAGCUGCCAGAAGAAAAAUGUACAGUGGAGAGCAUUCUGACUGGUUGCAUCACCACCUGGUAUGGAGGCUCCAAUGUACAGUAUUGAAGGAGGCUGCAGAGGGUUGUAGACUCAGCCAGCUCCAUCACGGGCACAGCCCUCACCACCAUCGAGGAUAUCUUCAAGAGGUGGUGCAUCAAGAAGGCGGCAUCCAUCAUUAAGGACCCUCACCAUCCAGGACAUGCCCUCUUCUCAUUACUA